rnacentral:lncRNA from 1 species
ACACCAAUUAUUCACUUUAUUCUAGUGGUUUAUUUAACCGUGCAAUGGUUGAGAUCCCUAAAGAUUUAUGCACUAGUACCCAUGUAGCGAGCGUUGGGUCAACAAUCCCAAACCACGAAGGGCUUUAGGUUGUUAGGCACAAAGUCCCCUCAGACUUAAUUACUCGAGUACUAAUGAGCUCAACCUAGUUAAUUAUACCACUUAUUUUUCUAGUGAAUUUAUUUACUACUAUUUUUUUUUUUUUUUAGAAAGGCAUAUCUACCCCUCAGUUCCCCCAAACUUAAGAUUUACAGACCUAAGCUGAAGGGUGUUCAAUUCAAUCCUAGAAUUCAUGGAAUUUCGUCUAAAUCCUAUCUCAAGAACAUAUGUGAAUUACAAUUUCCAACACAAGCAAUUUCCAAGUACUAACCUAGCAUUGCAAUUGAAACUACUAAUCAAGAACUACG